GCGACUGGGACCAGAAAUAGAAAACACUCAAUAAAAGUGAAGAUCAGCAUACACUGAGAACAGCCUCGGAGCUGCUGUGGGAACGCAAUAUGAGGUCAGGAGAAAACAGAGUGCUGCUCAUAUUUACAGGAGGCUCAGUCACCUUCUGUCAUAAUCCUUCACUGGCAUAUCUGCUGUCUUCACCAGAUUCUGUGCUCCUUGGAACUAGAAACCCUGUCUUGUUCAUCUUAACAGUUAUCAGGACCUAGCAGAAAAACUGGCACAUAGUAUCUACUUAAUGAAGUGACAAAAGCAUGUAGUAAGA
rnacentral:lncRNA from 1 species